UAACGGGGGGCACCAGUGAGGAAUAUUGCACAAUGGGGGGAACCCUGAUGCAGCAACGCCGCGUGGAGGAUGACGCAUUUCGGUGUGUAAACUCCUUUUAUAUGUCAAGAAAAUGACGGUAGCAUAUGAAUAAGCACCGGCUAACUCCGUGCCAGCAGCCGCGGUAAUACGGAGGGUGCAAGCGUUACUCGGAAUCACUGGGCGUAAAGGACGCGUAGGCGGGUUGGAAAGUCAGGUGUGAAAUCCUACAGCUUAACUGUAGAACUGCACUUGAAACUUCUAAUCUAGAGUAUGGGAGGGGGAGAUGGAAUUAGUGGUGUAGGGGUAAAAUCCGUAGAUAUCACUAGGAAUACCUAAAGCGAAGGCGAUCUCCUGGAACAUUACUGACGCUAAGGCGUGAAGGCGUGGGGAGCAAACAGGAUUAGAUACCCGCGUAGUC
rnacentral:rRNA from 1 species